ACUGAGCUCUCUUGCAAAUAUACAACAUCAAGUAUUUGCUUUAUUACUGUUACAUAAAAGGCUUAUAAAGUAAGCCUCGGUCAGAAGCUCAGCCAGUACAAAUGCUGGGCUGCAGCAACUGCAUUUCUGGACCCGGACUAUGGGUUUAAGGAAGCACCCUCAGUCAGCAGCUUCAAGUGAAAAGCCUUUUGUCCACUGAUAUGGAAGAAAGAAAAAUUAGAGCUGCUUCUCCUUCAGCUUUGGGGUGAAGACAGCACUGAUGGAACUGAGCACCCACAAACACACUGAAUUGCUGGACCAGGAAGGCAAGAAGCUACUUCAGAACAAGAACUCAGAAACUCUAUCUCCAUAGACUGCUUGAGCCUGCUCCAGUGAUUCAGAAGAGUGUUGGAAAGAGGAACUCCAGUUGCUUUGCACAGCAACGGCCCUAAGAAGAAAUGUUUUCCUAUUCAGCUGUGAGCAAAACUCAGGAAACUGGAGGACAGAGCCAUUCAUCAUGGGAUGCUUUGAUAUUCAUCCUGCUUUGCACAGUCUGGAAAAUCUGCUUGCAAUAGAAGAAGAGAGAAAGAAGGAGCAAGCUUGUGUGAGUUAUUAUGGAUUUGAGCUGUCUUCACAUGCUUUUCUAGGGACUGAAGUAGACACUACCACUGGCAUGUUUUGCGCCCACCUGGAGCUGAACUGUUUUUUGGGAUAGCUAGGGUAAUCUCCUGAGGCAUUAGGCAGUAAAAGCAGGAAAAGUAGGAAGCAGCUCAAGACAUCAAAAGAGACAGAGAUCUAAUCUCUACCAAUCCUCCAUGAAAAGCCGGCUCUGUCCCUACAGCCAUCACGGUGUACCCAUAGAAGACCUUUCCAUACACAUGAGCAGGGGACAUACUCUUGAGGCCUCUCAUCUUUUUAUUUUUGCAAAUCAAAUCUGCAGCACUCAUCUCAGUUCACAUUUAGCAAACAUGACCCUUAAUGCCUUUCAAACUAAUACACAUUUGGACAGCAGCAUAACUGGAGAAGUGUCUAACAAAGUGUGCCAGUAGAACUCCAGCAUAUUUCCUAUUUUAACAGUCUGUAAUUUGAGUGUUUGUUCUCUUGAGUGCCUUCAAAUUAUGCCAAUUUCUAGAGAUUAGAGUCUAGGCUAAGUACUCUUCAUGAACAGAUAUACAGUGGAUCUCUGUUUUACUUGGAAUAAGGUAUAUAUUUGAACUGAUUUCUCAUUGUCUGAAAAAGCUAUUCAGCUGGCCAUAAAAAUUGUGGGUUUGACAUGGGAAUGUUUCUGUGGCAUUGUUUUACAUAGCAGUGGUUGAAUUUGAAACUUUAGAUUCUCUUUGGACACUUCAGCUGUGAUGUGGUUUGAACUGGAGUACCCAAGGCUCUCUUUGAUUCCCUACCAAGGGAGAAGUAAAAUAUUAUUGUAUGUUUUUGAUGUCCAGAGAAGUCUAUGUUACUUUUGCUGCAGGAUCACCCUGUUAUGUUGCAGGUACAUUACCUUCCUGGUAAGUAAUGACAAUUAAUUUAUUUUUCUGUUUUGGGAAACUGUAUCAGAGUCAGGUUUAUAAACUUGAACUUAGUCUAAACCACUUACUGGGAAACAUUUCUGUUUACAGACAGAGUGGUGACUAAAGCUUAGUAAAAGUCUUUUAUUAAUCCUGUUUCAUAUACUGACUCAAAACAUAAUAAUGGGCAUAACCCACAACCUCAUCUACUUCAGGCAAUACAGCUAGAAAUUAAGUAAAAAAAAAAAAGCAUUGUGGGUGCUGUACUCCAUAUACAGCCUGAGUGCUCUUUCAAUAAGUUCUUGAAAAAUGUAGAUGAAAUGGGGAUGUAUUACCAAAGAAAUUUUAUGUGCAUGAUUGGUUUACCUCAUUCCUUACAAAGUAAUGCUGCCUUCUGACAGAAGAAAGAAAUUAGAAAAGUCAGCUACUCAUUUGCAUGAACAUGUAGACCUAGAAAAAGACUAGGGAAACACGUGUAAAAAAAGACUCUGGAUUUCAUUAUUUAAUUCUUUUGACAAAUGGAGACGUUGCUGCUUGAGGAAGAGUGAUAAAGUACAAUUGCUGCAGAUGAAGUUCACAAGACAGUGAGCAUUUUUCAGACCAUCUUAUUCACCAGUCAUUGUUAACACAAAUUAGCUAAGUAUUAGCUAGUGGGGAACUGUCUGUUUACUAGGUUUCAUCUCACAUAUAAUUGGAACUUUAUAUCAAAGUAACUUCUGAUGUAUAAUUUUAGGGGAGUUUUUCCAUUCACAUUACAUUUGAAUUAAACAUUUUUGAACCAUGCAUGAACAGUGGCUAAAAAAAUGUGUCUGGAUUUUUUAGAGUACACUGCGAGAAAUACGGAACUGCUAAACUCCAUUUCUGACUGUUCUUAGAUGAACUGAGGCAAAAUUUCUUUUGGAGUUUUGCCUGAGUAAAUCCUAUCAAAUUUGGCCUAGCUUUGCCUGUUGACAGUAAGAACAACAGUGUCACUGUGGUCUGUUCUGAGCCUGUCACAAUGCAAACUGCCUCUUGAAACAAUGACCUACAAUGUCAACUUCAGUACCCUGUGUGAGUAUCGACUUUACCUUUGCUUAGUCAAGAACAUUAUAAAAAGAAAACUGCAGAUAGACGGAAAAAAGGCAGAGAAUUUAGAAUGAAAAGAUUCAGUUGUUUAAAAAUAGGUUGGGUCCUAUGUGACCAUUUUAAAAAAUGAAGCUGUAACAGCCGUAUUUUUAAUAAUAAAAUAGCUCUACUGUGCAACUUCUGCUUUCUUCCAACAGAAUGGUGGUGUGUUGAAUUUCAAGGCUGACCCUGGAAAGCAUCUUAGGUGGCAAAGCAAAGAUCAAGGCCAAUGCCAAAUUUUUCUAAUUUAUAUUUCUCCAAUGCUUUGAGAGUCUGGAGGCAAGAUGAAGUCUGACUGGAUUGAGGGUAUUAUAUUCCCACAUACAUCUCAGGAAGAAAUUUCUUGGGACUAAAAAAAAUCAUAGAAGAAAAAAUCCCUUAUUCUUUUUGGCUUAGUAUAAGAAGUGCAUAUGCGAAAUGUAACUCAGGCGAGGCUUUUCAAAAUCUCUUGUUUCAGACUGAUACUCAUAACUGUGGAGGGUAUCCUUGAAUAAUGAAAUUGCUAUCAGCAAAUGACCCUCUUCUUCAGGAUCACAUGAAUGCCACUGCACGGUGCUGAAAGAAGAAAACGAGGUUGUAUUUCACUCAAGGACACAAGGAAAGCUGGAACUGGUUUCAUAUUUUCCCCCAUAUUUUCUUUUCCACUCUCAGUCAAUCUUCAUGGCUGAUGGUUAACAGGGUGCUUUGCUUCUAUGUGAGGAAGCGUUUGUUAUUGCUUGCUCACUAUUUUCCAUAGCAACACAAUGUCUCUGUUUAAGAUCCAGUGGAGAUGAGCAAACAGUAAAGCCUUUAAGAAGCAGUUUGUAAAAGAAGCUAAAUUAAACUUAACUCUUUCAGGUUAA